CGCUUUGCGUAAUUUAUGCCACUGUUGGAGAUUAGCAAAAUGUUGUUGGCUCAUAACAUUUGAAAGAGCAACGCAAAGUUUACUUCUUCUAAUUAUUUUCUAUUUUUUCCUGUGUUGAAAAGCGUAUUAAAAGAAGUAAACGUCCUGCCCUGCUCUAAUCAUAAAUACAAAUACAAAGGUUGUUAGGAAUUGGUCAGCUAUAGAUAGGGAAAUCAGAUACUGUGCUUCUUUUUCUUUUUGGUAAUUCUGCAGGAGCUGCUGCCACACAGACAGCAUUAACCCUUUACGCUCUGUGCUUACAAACGCAGCUGGGAGGGCACGCUGGAAUUCACAAUUUUCGUCUUCCUCAGCAUCACUCAACAACACAGCGUCUGCAGUGCUUUCUGAACUACCAUGGCUUCUCUCUCAGCAGCAGACAAAAGAAAAGUCCUCAAGACACUUUGCUGUCUCAGGUGAAAAACGCUGUGGGAAAGAAAAUACGUGGAAGAGGAGAGCAUCCCUGAUCCAAGAACGUCCUUGCCAUGCGUUGCAAGACUGCGUGUUGUGAAGCACAUUACUCCCGCGAUGCUAGUACAAGUGCAGCUCUAAACACAGUGUCAACCUUUUAGAAAGGCAAAAAAGGUAAAGUAGUAGUAUAAAUAAUAGAGCUAACAAAAAAAAAACCCUAAGAAGUGGGGACAGCGCAGAAAGUUCCAGCAGGGAAAUGAAUGCCACAACGCAGCCGGCGGUCUGAUCAAAGUUAUUAACCACUGAGUUGAGAAAAUUAAGCGGUCAGUGCCAGACUGGCACUUUUGUCAUACCCUGCCUGGGUUUUCUAGGUUAUUCGCACACGGUCUAUGCCACGGCGCUGCGGAUUCCCAGCGUCGCUCCCAUCUGUAUCCAGCCGCUCAGCCCAGCGUGUUCAGUCCCGACGGAGCAAGCUGGCCAAUGCCACAGCGUUGACGAGGAUUUUCCCAGAAGCGGGAACUGCCAGCGCUCCAUGAAAGUCUGAAUUUUCACAGAUUUUAAUGUGGUGGAAAGAAAACAACGCGUGUGGGUGUUGCUCGCCCAGGGCAGCUCUGGCCUGGCCGUGUUCUUGCACUUUUUCAGGGCUUGGUGAAUUACCGUGAGCGAGCUUGGAGCUGACAAACCGCAGAUCAYUGCGGCACCCGAAAAAGAAAAAAAUCCAGCUUUUCUGACCAAG
rnacentral:lncRNA from 1 species